AUGUCGUCUUCAGCUGAUUCGCCUGAAACAUCAAACUCCGAACCGCCAUGCGCUACUGCAGUACCAGCGAACAAGGAGAGGAGCAGUGACCUCGUUGAGAGGACCAGUUCGUUCGGGGCAUGGCUAUCUCCAGCUGCAGCCUGUACUUAUGUGAGUGACAUCAUAGAAGGCAAUGCUGAUGGAUCUGCCAGCCACAUUGCCACAAAUUCUCGUAGUGCCCUUGUUGACUUCAUCGCCGCGAGGGCCGAAAGAUCACCGAGGAAGCUCUCUGUCAAGAAGCACCGUGACCCGUUGACCGAAUCCUUCCGGAACAUGGCUAAGAAGCUGCUGCUCGAGAAUGAAUCGACAGAGAAUUUUUGUAACAACAAACUACUGCAUUCUGAAGACGCACCUGAUCCGAAUGAGGAUUAUCAGCUAAAUAGUGCAAGCAAAAAACUAAAAAUCCUGCCUGAACUUCAUGGUGAUAUCACCUGUGAUUGCAAUGGCUAUCAGUCAAGAGGUGUGCCACAGCCAUGCUCCCCGCAGCAUGACCUCGCUGAUGUUGUUAAUUCCAACUUUGAGGAGAUCCGACAGACGUGCUCUGUGAUGGCAGCCUCUGCAAGCUCCACCUCCGGAGCCGUGGAAUCUUCACAUCCAAUGGCGGCAUGGAUUCUGGGGGCCAUACAAAAUGCAGUACUUCCCAAGAUUGCACCAUAUAUGGUCAGCUCAAAUCUUGGCAACUGGCAUACCAUCCUUUCCAAUCCAACUAUAGAUGCAGGCAGAUUUCUCAAGUUCAUCUGCCUGACAUCCAGCGUCUCCAAGUGCUCCAGCAAUCCAAUUUCGCCUGUGUUUGACAUGGAAUAUGGGAGUGCCACCCUGGAGGACAUUACAGAAUAUGACAUGGUGAUUAGUCAAAUUUUUGGCAGCGAGGAAGAAGGUUACAAUUACUAUAAUGCAUAUGCUCUAUCAAAGGGUUUUGGUGUUAGAAAGGAAGAACUGACUAGGAAGUCGGACACGAACAUAGCUUUUCGGCGCCUCUAUGUCUGCUCUAAAGAAGGAUAUCGGGCGAGGAAGCACUUUGAGAAAACUAAACGGGUGCGAACUCCUAGGCCGCUGUCACAUUGUGGAUGUGGCGCUCGGAUGGAGAUCGAGCUUCGUAUGGAUAAUGGUGAAUGGUUUGUAAAAGAUAUUGUGGACGAACAUAACCAUCCACUCGCUAAGCCUGAGCAGACAACUUACAUAAGGUCACAUCGUGGGCUGAGUGACGUGCAAAAGGCUGAUGUCAUUGAGUAUGGAAUUGGUGGCCUUCGAACACAUCAAAUAAUGGAAGUAAUGGAGAAGGAUAGUGGUGGUUUCAGCAAGAAUGAGGCCGAGUUGGAUGCUACAGCUUCACUGACAGUACCUUUUACUGAAUUAACAGCUGAUCCACUUGAGAGAAGGGCUGCUCUCAUUUAUACUCCAGUGAUGUUCAAGAAGGUAAAACAUCAAAUCAUGCAGUUGUCAAAAUGGGAAGUAGCAGAAGUGACCAAGAAUGAUGCUUUUGUUCUGUAUACAGUUGCUCGCAAAGAGAGUAGGCAUGUGACGUAUGUUGUGAGGUUUGUCAUGGCAGGCCCGUUGCUUCAGAGUGUGAAUUGUCGUUGUCUGAAGAUGGACUCGGAGGAGAUCCCGUGCGCACACAUUUUUUCUGUUCUAAAAUACCUUGGCUUAGUCAGCAUUCCUAGGUGUUGUGUCUCAAGAAGAUGGACGAUGGUAGGCAAGUCCGCAUUUGACUCAGAGAGAAAUGGUAAUAUGCAUGAUUGGUCUGAGCGGAUGGAUCGUUACCAUGAACUCCGCAACAUUUGUAGUCUGUAUUUAUUCAAAGCUUCAAACAGCCAGGAGACAUCACAGAAGGUGGUGGAUUUUCUCAUGGGUAUUAUAGCUGAAGGCGGCGAAGAUGAUGGGAAAAAUGAGGCGGCAUCACUGGGCCCUCUUCCAGCAUAUUUUUCAGGGUCAAGCCAAGCAUGUCCAGGAAAUGUCCGGAAUCCAAAAAUAAGUAAACCGAAAGAUGCUCCAUCCAAGACAUCCAACAAGAGGUGGAAGCCGUUUAACGAGAUUUGGUAUGAAAAAAAUGUUGCCAAGAAGUGA
rnacentral:rRNA from 1 species